rnacentral:rRNA from 1 species
AUGAGGUUAUCGUGCUCACCUUCAAGGAUUGCGCACAUGAUCGACAGAUUAGAUCCCGACCACCAAAAGGCCAUCUGCACUAAAACUGGUCUUGGAGGGCUAACGCAAAUGAAGUCAGUGCUUCUCCGAUGUAUUACGUUGGUGCUGCUAGCCAAGAGCUACAUCAGAAAAAAGCAGAGUAUUCACAUUGCUGGUAAGGACAUUCCUAUAACUCCAACAGAUGUGUAUGAAUUAAUGGACCUUCCGAUAGAGGGGGAAGAUAUAUAUAUAUAUAUGGAAAUGGGAAAACCAAUAGAUGUAAACCUGUUAAGCGUUUAUCAAACUGACGGAAGACUUAAGCUGAGUGACCUUGAGAAGAAAAUUAAAGCCACCAAAACUCCAGAUGAUCAUUUCAUCAGGCGGUUUGUUUUGUAUGCUAUUGGCACUAUGUUAGCACCCACGGUACAGGAUUAUGUCGACGCCAAAUAUUUCGUCCUUGUACAAGACGUCGCAAGAAUUCCCUAUUUUAACUGGGGAUGUUUCACACUUAACCAUCUGUUGACAUCCAUCAAUGCUUUUAACUAUGUGGACCAAGUGAAUCUACAAGGAAAUCUGGCUUUGCUCCAAGUAAGUGCUACAACA